rnacentral:rRNA from 1 species
CCUACGGGCGGCAGCAGUGGGGGAUAUUGCACAAUGGGGGAAACCCUGAUGCAGCGACGCCGCGUGAGUGAAGGAGUAUUUCGGUAUGUAAAGCUCUAUCAGCAGGGAAGAAAAUGACAGUACCUGACCAAGAAGCCCCGGCUAACUACGUGCAAGCAGCUGCGGUAAUACGUAGGGGGCAAGCGUUAUCCGGAUUUACUGGGUGUAGAGGGAGCGUAGACGGUUAUGUAAGUCUGGUGUGAAAGCCCGGGUCCCAACCCCGGUACUGCUGUGGAAACUGUGUAACUGGAGUGCAGGAGGGGCAGGCGGAAUUCCUGGUGUAGCGGUGAAAUGCGUAGAUAUCAGGAGGAACACCGGCGGCGAAGGCGGCCUGCUGGACUGAAACUGACGUUGAGGCUCGAAAGCGUGGGGAGCAAACAGGAUUAGAUACCCUUGUAGUC